rnacentral:rRNA from 1 species
UACGUAGGGUCUGAGCGUUAAUCGGAAUUACUGGGCGUAAAGCGUGCGCAGGCGGUUUUGUAAGCCAGAUGUGAAAGCCCCGGGCUCAACCUGGGAACUGCAUUUGGGACUGCAAGGCUGGAGUACGGCAGAGGGAGGUGGAAUUCCACGUGUAGCAGUGAAAUGCGUAGAGAUGUGGAGGAACACCGAUGGCGAAGGCAGCCUCCUGGGCUAGUACUGACGCUCAUGCACGAAAGCGUGGGGAGCAAACAGG